rnacentral:rRNA from 1 species
UGUACGGAAUCCUGCUGAGAGGUGGAGUGCUCGAAAGAGAACCGUAACACAGGUGCUGCAUGGCUGUCGUCAGCUCGUGUCGUGAGAUGUUGGGUAAGUCCCGCAACGAGCGCAACCCUUGUCCUUAGUUGCUACGCAAGAGCACUCUAAGGAGACUGCCGGUGACAAACCGGAGGAAGGUGGGGAUGACGUCAAGUCCUCAUGGCCCUUAUGGGUAGGGCUUCACACGUCAUACAAUGGUCGGUACAGAGGGCUGCCAAACCGCGAGGUGGAGCUAACCCCAGAAAACCGAUCGUAGUCCGGAUCGCAGUCUGCAACUCGACUGCGUGAAGCUGAAUCGCUAGUAAUCGCGGAUCAGCA